UCAUGAUCUAGCAGUUGUCCUGCAAGAAAACCCUGGAAGGUGGAAGCCAUGACAUUUUGCAAAACAGUGUCUGAGGCUCCCUUCACCCCACUGGAGAAGAAGAGGACUAGAAAUGCUGCAGACUGCAAGUUACGAUUGCCAUUGCAGAGCCACAUCGGGAGUUUGAAGCAGAAUGUGAGAGACCAUAGCCUGUUUCCUGGACUUUAAGGAGGUUACAGUCCCUACAGAGAAUCAGGACACCAUCCCACAAUGACUGAGAAGUGUAAAUCCUCCCGGAGAAGAGCCCUAAGGGAAUAUAUUUGCUAUCUCAGUCUGUUCUACCUAGGAACAUGGCAAAGGGGAGCAGUGAGGGCGGUGCCUGUGGGCAGUGUGCAGAGCCUCCUGGCCAUGUCUCCGCCUACGGGCCAGACAUGCCUGCCACUUGUGGGAGCUGCAUGGAACCAGGGCAGGCAGGGAACCUGCCUUAGCCGCACUGUGCCACCGACCGGGAGCUG